rnacentral:rRNA from 1 species
UACGAAGGGGGCUAGCGUUGCUCGGAAUCACUGGGCGUAAAGCGCACGUAGGCGGAUUGCUAAGUCAGGGGUGAAAUCCUGGAGCUCAACUCCAGAACUGCCUUUGAUACUGGCGACCUUGAGUCCGGGAGAGGUGAGUGGAACUGCGAGUGUAGAGGUGAAAUUCGUAGAUAUUCGCAAGAACACCAGUGGCGAAGGCGGCUCACUGGCCCGAUACUGACGCUGAGGCCCGAAAGCGUGGGGAGCAAACAGG